rnacentral:lncRNA from 1 species
CUGUCUAUUCAUAUACAAAAAUAUCAGAAUAGGCAGCCAACUUGUCCGCGUUCUUCAGCCACUCUGCCAUCAAUUUCAAAUCCCAGUCCUUACAAAUUCUCUUUAGAAAACAAAUUAAACUAUAUUUUUCCUCAGUUUAAUUAAUUUAUGGGUGUGAAUAUAAUGAAUUGGAUAGGGUUGCCCGCACUUCUUCUUCUGCUACUCUUCAACAAUGGAACAUCACAGUCCAUCAUCAAAACUCUUCCAGGUUACUCGGGUACUCUGCCCUUUAAACUUGAAACCGGGUCAGUUCUUUCAAUCUUUAUUUCGUUAUUCAUUACUAUUUAAUUUCUUUUCAUGUUUAGCAGUGUUGAGUUCAUUCUGUUAUCCAACAUAAAGUAAAUUCAAGAAACUGAAUUCUUUGCAAAUAUUUUUAGAAUUUUUGUUUGAAUGAUUGAAUAGAUACAUUGGUGUGGGUGAAAACGAUGAAGUGCAGCUAUUCUACUAUUUCGUUGAGUCGGAAAAUAAUCCUAAAACAGACCCUCUUUUAUUUUGGAUUACUGGUGGACCUGGUUGCUCUGGCUUAUCCCCUCUCGUCUAUGAAAUUGG